UACGUAGGGUGCGAGCGUUGUCCGGAAUUACUGGGCGUAAAGAGCUCGUAGGUGGUUUGUCGCGUUGUUCGUGAAAUCUCACGGCUUAACUGUGAGCGUGCGGGCGAUACGGGCAGACUAGAGUACUGCAGGGGAGACUGGAAUUCCUGGUGUAGCGGUGGAAUGCGCAGAUAUCAGGAGGAACACCGGUGGCGAAGGCGGGUCUCUGGGCAGUAACUGACGCUGAGGAGCGAAAGCGUGGGGAGCGAACAGGAUUAGAUACCCUGGUAGUCCACGCCGUAAACGGUGGGUACUAGGUGUGGGUUUCCUUCCUUGGGAUCCGUGCCGUAGCUAACGCAUUAAGUACCCCGCCUGGGGAGUACGGCCGCAAGGCUAAAACUC
rnacentral:rRNA from 1 species